rnacentral:sRNA from 1 species
UUUUUUUUAAAGAUUCUGUUCAUGUAAAAGAAUUUCAUAAUAAUAUUUUUUCUUAAAAAUUCAUAACGUUUUUUGAAAUAACAUGUUUUUAAACUAAAUAUAACAUGUGAAAUUUUAAUGUUACAUGCUAUUUUGAAAAAUUACACAGAUGUGUUUCGUUUACUGUUCAUCUUACAACAAAUGAAGGGUAGCUUUGUUAUUUCUUUUCUUCCGACAACGUAGGUCCAUGGUUAUUUUGUAACAAAAAACUUUCUCUCUGCUAGUUUCUUAAUUUAUAUGUUUUAUUUGGUUAUCUACUAAUAUUACCCUAUUUAUUAAGCUAUUUUUCGGGAUAAGUUUUUUUUUUCUUUAUUUUGUUAUGUUUUUGGAGAUAAAUUUACGUUAAUGUU